UUCAUACUCCCUCCGUCCGAAAAACUUGUCCCUCGAAUGGAUGUAUCUAGCAUCAAGUUAAUGCUAGAUACAUCCAUUUGAGAGACAAGUUUGGGACAAGUUUUUUCGGUCGGAGAAAGUAUGUU
rfam:Triticum aestivum genome assembly, contig: Triticum_aestivum_CS42_TGACv1_scaffold_227421_3B